GAAAUGCGAUAAGUAAUGUGAAUUGCAGAGUUCCGUGAAUCAUCGAAUCUUUGAACGCACAUUGCGCCCUCUGGCAUUCCGGGGGGCAUGCCUGUCCGAGCGUCAUUACGCACCCUCAAGCCCGGCUUGUGUGAUGGGCCCCGGCGUCUCGUUCGCGAGACGGGCCCGAAAGGCAGCGGCGGCGUCGACCCGAUGAGCCCGAGCGUAUGGGGACUUCUGUCACACGUUCGCGGUGCGGACCGGCGCCUGCUUGACUUUUCUGAUUAUCCAGGUUGACCUCGGAUCAGGUAGGGAUACCCGCUGAACUUAAGC
rnacentral:misc_RNA from 1 species